ensembl:miRNA gga-mir-130c gga-mir-130c
UUGAGCGGUGUCUGUCCAGCGCCCUUUUUAUGUUGUACUACUAGUGAUCAUACACAAAGCAGUGCAAUGUUAAAAGGGCAUUGGCCAGCAGUGC